UAUAUAUCCUAUUUUUGUUUUGAGAUAUUUAGGACAAUGACAUGGCUUUCACAUUUUAGUUAAAGUCAUGUUCAAGAAAGCUAGUUCUUUGCUUGCCUACUAGGGGUGUUCAAAAAUACCCAACCCGACUGUCCCAACCCGUUGACCCGCUGUCCCGAUGUAAAAUAGUCGGGUAUUUUAAAAAAAAUUAAUUUUUCGGGUCGGGUUCCCGACCCGAGAAAUCUGUGUAGCUCUCAGGUCGAGACAUGGGCCAGUUCGUGUUGUUAGUGGGUACCCGAAAUCCCGUUAAGGGCUUUUUUUUUCCUGGAAUCUUUCUUAGCUGUUAGGGUUUAUUUUCUUUCACUUCUUCCCCCUUUUGCGCUCAGCCGUUUAAACUCAAAGCUUUCUCUUUCUCUCUCUUCUAAUCCUCUCUUUCUCUCUCUUCUAGUUCUCUCUCUCUUUGCUUGGUUUCCAUCUAUUCUCCAUGUUCAAUUGUUCAUCUUACAUUCCUUGAUCUAUUAAUUUCGUUACUCUCGGUUGAAAGAAGAUAAAGUGUUGCAAUCUUCUCCAAGAAAUUUAACCAAGAACAUCUCCAAAUCCCAGAAGACAAGGAAGAAGUAACAUUCCAAUGGCGAUAAUCCAAAUGCUAGAAGACGAAGAACUCCAAAACAUCGAAAAUCUAAAUCAUCAAUGGCGAUCUCAACUCGAUGCAGCAUAUUCAAUUUUUCAAUUGAUCUCGUGAUUAACGUCAUCCAUCUAUUUCACUUGUCUUCAGAAAUGUGGUUUGUUUACCAUCCCUAAGCCAAUGAGAACAAGUUCGAUUCAAGAAGAAGUCAACUCUUAGUUAAUUCCUUUUGGAAAUAGUUAUGUAUAUACAUGUAUUAUCCAAACGGUUAUUAAGAAUUUGAAAAUUUAUUUACUUGAGAAAAUGAAAAAAUUCAGAAAGGAAAUUUUAA